GAGAGAUGACCGAGUGGUUGAAGGUACCGGUCUUGAAAACCGGCGUAGGUAUCCCCUACCGUGGGUUCGAAUCCCACUCUCUCC
rnacentral:tRNA from 1 species